rnacentral:tRNA from 1 species
GCCACCGUAGCUCAGUUGGCAGAGCAGCGGUUUCGUAAACCGCANNGGUAGAGCAGCUCAUUCGUAAUGAGCGGGUCGCAGGUUCAACUCCUGUCACCGGCU